rnacentral:rRNA from 1 species
AACGAACGCUGGCGGCGUGCUUAACACAUGCAAGUCGAACGAUGAAGCUAGAGCUUGCUCUGGUGGAUUAGUGGCGAACGGGUGAGUAACACGUGAGUAACCUGCCCCGAACUCUGGGAUAACUGCUGGAAACGGUAGCUAAUACCGGAUAUGACCAAUGAAGGCAUCUUCUGUUGGUGGAAAGAAUUUCGGUUCGGGAUGGACUCGCGGCCUGUCAGCUUGUUGGUGAGGUAACGGCUCACCAAGGGGACGACGGGUAGCCGGCCGGGGAGGGGGACCGGCCACACUGGGACUGAGAGACGCCCCAGACUCCUACGGGAGGCAGCAGGGGGGCAUAUUGCACAAUGGGCGCAAGCCUGAUGCAGAAACGCCGCGGGAGGGACGACGGCCUUCGGGUUGUAAACCUCUUUUAGUAGGGAAGAAGCGAAAGUGACGGUACCUGCAGAAAAAGCACCGGCUAACUACGUGCCAGCCGCCGCAGUAA